CGAGUGUGACAAGACUAGCAAUAAGUGGGUACUAGAGAGAGAUGAGGAUGAGAGGCACAGAGAAUCAGUGAGAGAGAGUUAAAGAGCGAGUGACAUAGUGGAAGAGAGAGAGAGAAGGAGUGAUGAUAAGAGAAAACUCUCUCCAUGAGUCGUUCCUAUGAACCACCCUCCAUCACUCAUAGCACCCACACAAACGGUCCGAAUUUCUUGAGAAUUCUGUCUCACUCAGUUCGCUCACGACUCAGUCGGGGGGUCGCUUCUCCCCCCAACACGACCGCGUUAGUGCCGUGUGCAUAGUGAGUAGUGACUACACGACGGAAGGUGUUCCAAAUCAUCAUUCGAAAUUGUGGUAGCAAGUGAGUGUUCUGUGCUCUACCAACCGACCAGCCAACCGACGACUUCUUCGAAAAGGUUUCACCAAGAGACUCCCAAAGCAACCUUUCAAAAUGCCUUUCAAGCCCGUCGAGAACCCCAAGUGCCCAAAGUGCGGAGGAUCAGUGUACGCCGCCGAGGAGAGGGUAGCUGGAGGACUCAAAUGGCACAAAAUGUGCUUCAAGUGCGGACUGUGCGGUAAGUUCCUGGACUCGACCAACUGCUCGGAACACGACGGCGAACUGUACUGCAAGGUGUGCCAUGCCCGCAAGUUCGGACCAAAGGGAUACGGAUUCGGUGGCGGCGCUGGCUGUCUCAGCAUGGACAAGGGAGAACACUUCGGAAACGUCGAAUCGACUCAGGCGACCAGUGCGCUACAACCGAAGGCGAUUGCCAAGGCACCCGAGGGUGAGGGUUGUCCCCGAUGUGGCGGAUUCGUGUACGCUGCCGAACAGAUGCUCGCUAGAGGACGUGGCUGGCAUAGAAGCUGUUUCCAUUGUGCCAAAUGUAAACGCACAUUGGACUCUCUGGAGCAUUGUGAUGGUCAUGACAAAGAAAUCUAUUGCAGAAGGCUGGCAUCGUGAGUGUUUCAAAUGCUAUACUUGCACUAAGGGACUUGACUCGCUCUUGUGUUGUGAGGGACCCGAUAAAGGCAUUUACUGCAAAGUCUGCUACGCAAAGAAGUUUGCUCUGAAGGGAUACGGCUAUGGACAGGGUGGGGGAGCCCUGCAGAGUGACCCAGCUUACGUCAAUGGUGAGAUGCAGCCACUGCACACAACAGUUCUGGACACAUCAAUUAUCAAGGCUAAGCCCGGACAGGGUUGCCCUCGCUGCGGUGGAGUUGUAUUUGCUGCUGAGCUCGUCUUAUCCAAAAGUAGAGAAUGGCAUCGCAAAUGCUUCAAGUGCAGAGACUGCCACCGAGUGUUGGACUCGAUCAUCGCCUGCGACGGACCAGACAAGGACGUUUACUGCAAAACUUGCUACGGAAAGAAAUGGGGACCUCACGGCUAUGGAUUCGCCAACGGUGCUGGAUUCCUGCAGACAGAUGGACUCACAGAGGACGAGAUUUCUGCGACAAGGCCGUUCUUCAACCCA
rnacentral:misc_RNA from 1 species